rnacentral:rRNA from 1 species
AAAUUGAAGAGUUUGAUCAUGGCUCAGAUUGAACGCUGGCGGCAGGCCUAACACAUGCAAGUCGAACGGUAACAGGAAGCAGCUUGCUGCUUUGCUGACGAGUGGCGGACGGGUGAGUAAUGUCUGGGAAACUGCCUGAUGGU